GACGAACGCUGGCGGCGUGCUUAACACAUGCAAGUCGAACGAUGAAGCUGGAGCUUGCUCCGGUGGAUUAGUGGCGAACGGGUGAGUAACACGUGAGCAAUCUGCCCUUGACUCUGGGAUAACUGCGGGAAACUGUAGCUAAUACCGGAUACGAGAUUUGGAGGCAUCUCCGGAUCUGGAAAGAAUUUCGGUCAAGGAUGAGCUCGCGGCCUAUCAACUUGUUGGUGAGGUAAUGGCUCACCAAGGCGACGACGGGUAGCCGGCCUGAGAGGGUGACCGGCCACACUGGGACUGAGACACGGCCCAGACUCCUACGGGAGGCAGCAGUGGGGAAUAUUGCACAAUGGGCGAAAGCCUGAUGCAGCAACGCCGCGUGAGGGAUGAAGGCCUUCGGGUUGUAAACCUCUUUUAGUAGGGAAGAAGCGAAAGUGACGGUACCUACAGAAAAAGCACCGGCUAACUACGUGCCAGCCGCCGCAGUAA
rnacentral:rRNA from 1 species